ensembl:snoRNA SNORA70 Small nucleolar RNA SNORA70
CUGCAGCCAGUUAAGCCGACUGGCUUCCUUUUCUCAUGGGGGCCCAGUGUGCAAUGGCUGCAAACAGCAGCUUCCUUGGUAGUGUAAUGCAGCCUGUUUCUUGUAUGGGUUGCUCUAAGGGACCUUGGAGACAAGC